rnacentral:rRNA from 1 species
GACGAGGGACCUAGCGUUGUUCGGAAUUAUUGGGCGUAAAGCGGGUGUAGGUGGACUUAUAAGUCAGGUGUGAAAUCCCAGGGCUCAACCCUGGAAGUGCACUUGAUACUGCAAGUCUUUGAGUGAUGGUAGAGGCUAUUAGAAUUCUUGGUGUAGUGGUGGAAAUACGUAGAUAUCAAGAGGAAUACCGGAGGCGAAGGCGGAUAGCUGGGCCAACACUGACACUGAGACCCGAAAGCGUGGGGAUCAAACCAGG